rnacentral:tRNA from 1 species
GGAGAGAUGCCCGAGAGGCCGAAGGGGCACGAUUGGAAAUCGUGUAUUCCGCUUAUAACGGGAUCGAGGGUUCGAAUCCCUCUCUCUCCG